rnacentral:lncRNA from 1 species
UCAGCAUGCAGAUGUUUUUUUUUCAUACGGUGAGCUGGUUAAGCACGCAACUUUUUUUUUCCAUUUCUCUCAAGGAACACAUCUUUUUCGUUCUACUUAUCUCCAUUACAAGCAUCAAUCCCAAUAUCCCAUCAUAGAGAAGCAACUACACAGAAGUUACGGUUACUAAAGAGCUGAUAUCCAAAAGUUACUUUGUCUAGGUAAAAAAAUGUCAAACCCUCACGAGAGUUACAACCAAGUGCAGCUAGCA